ensembl:snRNA U6 U6 spliceosomal RNA
CUGCUCGCUUCAGCAGCAUGUGUACCAAAACUGAAAUGAUACACAUAAGAUUAGCAUGGCCCCUGCUCAAGGAGGUGACUUCUACAAAUUCCCUGAGUUCAA